GCUCUACGCAUGCGCUCCUACCUGAGCCGAGCCUACAAUCCAAACCUCCCUCGCCCAACUCUGCCCGCCACAGAUGCCCCUGGGCUCCCCUCCAGACCCUGCCCCGCAUCCCCGCCAGCCUGAAGCUCCUGCGCACCUGGGCUGGGGGAGCCGGUCGGCACCCCCGGAGUCGGAGCAUCACCGCCGCUCGGAGUUGCCACAGCGACGGGGAGGAUCUCGAUGGAGACAGCAUCCCCCGGCCCCCGCAGAAUACGGAUUAACCCCUUCUCCUCCAGCUCCUCCACCUUCAGCUCCAGGGCCGAGGGCCGCGUCGGGGCAGCGGGAGGCGCUUUCUCAGGCUCUGGGGGACGCCUGGAGGGCCCCAUGGCGGUCGAUUCGCUGAAGCGCUCCUACGAACCCCACGGGAGGGGUCAGUGCCCACCAGCAGGCUCCUUGGCACCAAGCCUCCAUCUUCUUCCCGGGGUGGAGGGAGAUGUCAAGCCUAGAAGCCUCAGCUGGCCUGUUCUUGGGCGCCUGGCCUACCACCCGCCCCAGCCUCACCCGCAGGGUCUCCAACUCCUUGCGCGCCUGGCUUAGCUGUUUUUCCAGUUCUGCAAUCUUGGCCAUGGAUUCGUUCUCCGCGUCCCGAAGCCGCUCUGUCAGCUGUAGCACCAGCACAUGGUGAGCCCCGACCCGCAGCCCGGCACUGGCACCGCCGGUGAGGGGGCGGCAUCAGGCAUGCCUGCCUGGAAGACUGGGGGAGGCUCCCAGAUCCGCUCAGCCCAGGUGCCAAGGGUGGGCCGAGCCUGGCACUCGAACCCAAGCAAAUAAGGAGAGGAAACCAAGAUGGCAAAACUGACACUGAGAGAGAGGAAGAGGCCUAUCCAAGGUCACACGGCAGGCAACGGCAGAGCCAGGAUUUAAACCCAGGUCUACCUGACCCCAGCACUCAUGCUGCUAACCACUCAGCCAUACUCUGCCGUGGGCAGGCAGUUCAGUCUGGGGGGCAGUACAGGGCUUACCUCCAAGUACAGGUCCAGGCCCAAGUGGGUGAACUCAUAUUGCAGGAAGACACGGAAGUUCAUGUUCUCCACCGAAUGUACCACAAUGUUGAUGAACUGCAUGCAGGCCACCUGGGAGCCAGGGACAUGGGGAGAUCUAUGAUCCUCUAGGUGGGGUUGCUCAAUGCCUUCCACCUCCACUUACCCCAAGCCUCCCUCCUUCUCCACAGUUCUCACUCCACUAACUCCCAGCCUUGGCCUGCCCAACAUUUCACCUCCAUGUUCCCUCAAUCCAGCCCCCUGCCAACAUCCACCCUUCCCCUACUGACCACUCAGUCCUUACGCUUUGCGGGGGCAGAGCCCAUUGCCCAGCACCCAGGACCCUAGCUGCUCCCUGCACCCAAGAGGGCCUGGCCCAGGCCUCAGGCUGCUGGGCUCCUGAGCUCACCAUGAAGUCGAUGUUGCUGUCCUCAUUCCGGAAAUAUUCCAUCAGCUUUUCAAAGCGGUGCUGCUCCCCACACACCUGGGUAAGGGGAAUGGCUCUCACUGAGGCCCAGUGACACACGUCCUAAGCUACCUUCUGGCUGCCACACCUGUGCUUCAACAGGCUCCUCUCCAGUUAAUUCUAAGUUGAGCCACGUCACUCUUCUGCUCAAAACCUCCACUCCCUCUCAAUCUCCCACUCUCCCUCACUUUUUCCACUCUGGCCACACUGGCAUCCUGGCACAUUCCCACCCCAGGGCCUUUGCACUUACUGUUCCAACUCCCUGGAGUGCCCUCACUCCCACACCAAGUCCCUUGCUUCCUUCACAGCUUUGCUGAAAUCUCACUUGCUCAGUGAGGCCUUCCCUGACCACCCUGCAACCAAUUCCCCCUCCCUCUGCAACAUUGCUGGCUUUUUUCUCACAGCAUUUAUCAUUUCCUAACAUACUAUGUAAUUUGCUUGUUUAUUAUAUCGUUUCUGUCUUUCCCUAUAUGGUUUCCUUUGUUCACUGAUGUGCCCAAGUGCCCUGUUCCUGACACAUAGUAGGCACUCAAUAAAUAUUCAUUAAAGGAAUG
rnacentral:lncRNA from 10 species